rnacentral:rRNA from 1 species
CAUGUAGGCGGCCUAUUAAGUCGGGCGUGAAAAUGCGGGGCUCAACCCCGUAUGGCGCCCGAUACUGGUGGGCUUGAGUGCAGGAGAGGAAAGGGGAAUUCCCAGUGUAGCGGUGAAAUGCGUAGAUAUUGGGAGGAACACCAGUGGCGAAGGCGCCUUUCUGGACUGUGUCUGACGCUGAGAUGCGAAAGCCAGGGGAGCGAAC